rnacentral:lncRNA from 1 species
ACAGCUGGGGCUGGAAACCCUGGUCCCACAGCUAUUUAGCUGGGCCUCCUUCCCUCCCAUGUGUCUUCUCCAAACUGAAACCCAGCCCUUCCCAGAGGCCACACCUGGCCCUCGCCCACACUGACUCACUUGGUGGUGGUGCAGGGACUGUUCUUUACUCCCCAGAGCCAGCCUCCGACAGGCCAUUCUGUAUGCUCAGUGGAAAAAAGGUGGCCUUGGGUCUACCAGUCAGUGAAAUGAUCCUCGGGCAGGGGUAACUCAGAGCUGGUAACUAACAAGCCAGAAGGAAAGACUAAUCCUCACGAAUACCUACUAUGUACGUAUUUUUUGUUACAUUCAAUCCCCACAACAACCUAAAUGAUCCAGUUCAAGUGACACAAGAACACUUUUUUCUCAUUAAGUUUAAGUACUGACAUUAUAGCUUAUUUAUAGAUCUCUAAUUGGCUUUCCGGAGGCCAAAAUGCGUUAUAAAGCAAGAUUUAAAGAAAUGAAAGACUCAGGUACAGACUGGAAAUAUGGCCAUUAAAUUUAUAUUGUUAUUGACGCAUUAAAGCAUAGGACUUCUUUUAUUAUCCCUUUAAGACCACUGGUUUUCAACAUUGGCUACAUGUUGGCAUCACCUGGGGACUUUUAAGAGACACUAAAAUCUGGGUCCUAUCUCCUGAGAUUUGAUGUGAUUGCUUUGUGUAUGGGAUUUUUAAAAAACUUUCCAAGUGAUUUUUCUUGGGAACAAUUAAGGUUGAGAGCCAUAUUUUUUUAAAGGAAAAUCUUACUUUAACCUUAUCUGGAUUGCCUUUAGCAUCUUAAUACAUGGGUCUGCUGUAGUCUGGAUUUUUUUUUUCCAGAGAUGGAGCCUUGUUAUGUUGUAUAGGCUGGUCUUGAACUCCUGGACUCAAGGGAUCCUCCUACCUCAGUCUCCCAAGCAGCUGGGAUUACAGACCAGGUGAGUGCCACCAUGUCUGGCUCUAUAGUUUGGAUCUUAAAUGUCUCCCAAAGACCUACAUAUUAAAGGCUUAGUUCCCAGCUUGACCUAGUUGAGAAGCAGUGGAAACUUUGAGGUGGGCCUUGUAGUCACUGGGAGCAUGACCUUGAAGGAGAUAAUGGGGCCCUAUCCCCUUCCUUUCCCUCUCAUAUCCCAUUUAUGAGGUGAGCAGCUUUGCUCUGAGACACACUCUGGGCAGCACAUGCCAGCACAGGCCCAAAGUAAUGGAGUCAAUCAAUCAUGACUGAAACUUAUAAUCUCAUGAGUCAAAAUAAACCUUUUAUCUUUAUAAGUUGGUUGUCUCUGGUUUUUUGUUACAGUGAUGGAAAACAC